rnacentral:rRNA from 1 species
AAGUCGGUGAUCCUAUGCUGCCAAGAAAAUCUUCUAGCGAGGUUCGAGCCGCCCGUACCCCAAACCGACUCAGGUGGUUAGGUAGAGAAUACCAAGGCGAUCGAGUGAAUCGUGGUUAAGGAAUUCGGCAAAAUACCCCCGUAACUUCGGGAGAAGGGGGGCCCAGAGGGUGACGGGACUUGCUCCCCGAGCCUGAACGGCCGCAGAGACCAGGGAGAAGCGACUGUUUACUAAAAACACAGGUCCGUGCCAAGUCGCAAGACGAUGUAUACGGACUGACGCCUGCCCGGUGCUGGAACGUUAAGGGGACCGGUUAGCCUCACGGCGAAGCUGAGAACUUAAGCGCCAGUAAACGGCGGUGGUAACUAUAACCAUCCUAAGGUAGCGAAAUUCCUUGUCGGGUAAGUUCCGACCUGCACGAAUGGCGUAACGAUUUCUCCACUGUCUCAACCACGAACUCGGCGAAAUUGCACUACGAGUAAAGAUGCUCGUUACGCGCAGAAGGACGGAAAGACCCCGGGACCUUUACUACAGCUUGGUAUUGGUGUUCGGUACGGCUUGUGUAGGAUAGGUGGGAGACUGUGAAGCUGACACGCCAGUGUCGGUGGAGUCAACGUUGAAAUACCACUCUGGUCGUUCUGGAUAUCUAACCUAGGUCCGUGAUCCGGAUCAGGGACAGUGCCUGGUGGGUAGUUUAACUGGGGCGGUUGCCUCCUAAAAGGUAACGGAGGCGCCCAAAGGUUCCCUCAGCCUGGUUGGCAAUCAGGUUUUGAGUGUAAGUGCACAAGGGAGCUUGACUGUGAGACUGACAAGUCGAACAGGGACGAAAGUCGGGACUAGUGAUCCGGCGGUGGCUUGUGGAAGCGCCGUCGCUCAACGGAUAAAAGGUACCCCGGGGAUAACAGGCUGAUCUUGCCCAAGAGUCCAUAUCGACGGCAUGGUUUGGCACCUCGAUGACGGCUCGUCGCAUCCUGGGGCUGGAGUAGGUCCCAAGGGUUGGGCUGUUCGCCCAUUAAAGCGGUACGCGAGCUGGGUUUAGAACGUCGUGAGACAGUUCGGUCCCUAUCCUCUGCGCGCGCAGGAAACUUGAGAAGGGCUGUCCCUAGUACGAGAGGACCGGGAUGGACGAACCUCUGGUGUGUCAGUUGUUCUGCCAAGAGCACCGCUGAUUAGCUACGUUCGGGAGUGAUAACCGCUGAAAGCAUCUAAGCGGGAAGCAUGCUUCAAGAUGAGGUUUCCAUGGGGUUUACCCCGAGAGGCUCCCAGCUAGACUACUGGGUUGAUAGGCCGGAUGUGGAAGUGCGGUAACGCAUGGAGCUGACCGGUACUAAUAAGCCGAUAACUUGACC